GCACCCUUGGUGUAUGGAAACACACAUCUUACAGUUGUUGCAUUAGUCCAAUUCAUCGAGAUGAGUCCGGGGUUCGAAUCCCCGAGGGUGCA